rnacentral:rRNA from 1 species
UACGUAGGUGGCAAGCGUUGUUCGGAAUUAUUGGGCGUAGAGGGCGCGUAGGCGGCUUUGUAAGUCGGGGGUGAAAGCCUGUGGCUCAACCACAGAAUUGCCUUCGAUACUGUAGAGCUUGAGACCGGAAGAGGUUAGUGGAACUGCGAGUGUAGAGGUGAAAUUCGUAGAUAUUCGCAAGAACACCAGUGGCGAAGGCGGCUGACUGGUCCGGUUCUGACGCUGAGGCGCGAAAGCGUGGGGAGCAAACAGG